GAGGACAGGGAGUACUUCUCAAGGUCUCAGGUCAGCUAGGCCUCAGAGACUUGGGAGAGGACAGGGAGUACUUCUCAAGGUCUCAGGUCAGCUAGGCCUCAGAGACUUGGGAGAGGACAGGGAGUACUUCUCAAGGUCUCAGGUCAGCUAGGCCUCUGAGAGAUUUGGGAGAGGACAGGGAGUACUUCUCAAGGUCUCAGGUCAGCUAGGCCUCAGAGACUUGGGAGAGGACAGGGAGUACUUCUCAAGGUCUCAGGUCAGCUAGGCCUCAGAGACUUGGGAGAGGACAGGGAGUACUUCUCAAGGUCUCAGGUCAGCUAGGCCUCUGAGGAAUUUAU